rnacentral:lncRNA from 1 species
GGACAAGAGGCAGAGGCAGAGAGACAGAGAGGAACCACCCUAAGAAGAGAGACCAGGGUCAAGAUGGCAGACUAGAAGCAGCUCAUGUGCACCACUCUCACAGGGAGGAAACAAAAGGGCUAGUGAACACUAAUCCUGCAGGUUGAUCAUCUCAGAAACCAUGUUAGGAUCCACCAAGGCAGCAUAGGAACACAGCAGAGAAGAGUGAAGCUGGACACAAGCCUGUCUGGGCUCAUGAUGGAGCCAAGAGAACCUCUCCAACACAGGAAAGGGAUCACCUUUCUGCUGAGAAAACAAGGCAUAGCUAUUUUCUCCAUCAUAUCAUCCCAGCUCACAGGGAUUUCUCAUAGGAAGUGGUUCUCAGACCCGGGUAUAUGUAAGUAUUAUCUGGGGGACUUGAACAAUUCCUCCAUGCCUGCACCCCUCU